rnacentral:rRNA from 1 species
GCGUAAAUGGCGCGACAUGAUCAGCCAUGCCGCGUGUGUGAGAAGCCCUCGGGUUGUAAAGCUCUUUCAUUGAGGAAGAACGCCUGGUGGUUAAUACCCGUCGCGAAUGACAUCUCUCACAGAAGAAGCACCGGCUAACUCCGUGCCAGCAGCCGCGGUAAUAA